rnacentral:rRNA from 1 species
CGAACGGAAAGGCCCUGCUUGCAGGGUACUCGAGUGGCGAACGGGUGAGUAACACGUGGGUGAUCUGCCCUGCACUUCGGGAUAAGCCUGGGAAACUGGGUCUAAUACCGGAUAGGAGCCAUUUUUAGUGUGAUGGUUGGAAAGUUUUUUCGGUGUAGGAUGAGCUCGCGGCCUAUCAGCUUGUUGGUGGGGUAAUGGCCUACCAAGGCGGCGACGGGUAGCCGGCCUGAGAGGGUGGACGGCCACAUUGGGACUGAGAUACGGCCCAGACUCCUACGGGAGGCAGCAGUGGGGAAUAUUGCACAAUGGGCGCAAGCCUGAUGCAGCGACGCCGCGUGGGGGAUGACGGCCUUCGGGUUGUAAACUCCUUUCGCAAGGGACGAAGCUUUUUGUGACGGUACCUAGAUAAGAAGCACCGGCUAACUACGUGCCAGCAGCCGCGGUAAUACGUAGGGUGCGAGCGUUGUCCGGAAUUACUGGGCGUAAAGGGCUCGUAGGUGGUUUGUCGCGUCGUCUGUGAAAUUCCGGGGCUUAACUCCGGGCGUGCAGGCGAUACGGGCAUAACUUGAGUACUGUAGGGGUAACUGGAAUUCCUGGUGUAGCGGUGAAAUGCGCAGAUAUCAGGAGGAACACCGAUGGCGAAGGCAGGUUACUGGGCAGUUACUGACACUGAGGAGCGAA